rnacentral:rRNA from 1 species
UAGGGAAUCUUCGGCAAUGGACGAAAGUCUGACCGAGCAACGCCGCGUGAGUGAAGAAGGUUUUUGGAUCGUAAAACUCUGUUGUUAGAGAAGAACAAUGACGUUAGUAACUGAACGUCCCCUGACGGUAUCUAACCAGAAAGCCACGGCUAACUACGUGCCAGCAGCCGCGGUAAUACGUAGGUGGCAAGCGUUGUCCGGAUUGAUUGGGCGUAAAGCGAGCGCAGGCGGUUUCUUAAGUCUGAUGUGAAAGCCCCCGGCUCAACCGGGGAGGGUCAUUGGAAACAGGGAGACAUGAGUGCAGAAGAGGAAAGUGGAAUUCCAUGUGUAGCGGUGAAAUGCGUAGAUAUAUGGAGAAACACCAGUGGCGAAGGCGGCUCUCUGGUCUGUAACUGACGCUGAGGCUCGAAAGCGUGGGGAGCAAACAGG